UCACCCGUGAAGGUAACUAAUAAGGACAUUGUAUGUUUUGAAACAUAACAGCAAUGGGGAAUCAUGUAGUUGUUUUGCUACUGUCUGUAAUUGUUUUGCUUGGUGCAUUAUAUGUACAUAAAGUGGAACAAAAUAUAGUCAAAAAUAAAAGACGAGUUACUUUAACAUGGAAAUGAAAUAAAGAAAGUGAAGAAAGAAUUGGAAUCGAACAACAAGGCACUUGUACAAGUGAAAGUAGAAUUGAAAUCGACGAAAAACGAACUUAAACAAGUGAAAGUAGAAUUUGAAUCGACGAACAAGGAACUUAAACAAGCGCAAGUAGAAUUGGAAUCGACUAAAAAAGAACUUAAACAAGUGAAAGUAGAAUUGGAAUCGACGAGAAAUGAACUUACACAAGUGAAAGUAGAAUUGGAAUCGACGAAAAAUGAACUUACACAAGUGAAAGUAGAACUGGAAUCGACGAGAAAUGAACUUAAACAAGUGAAAGUAGAACUAGAUACGACAAGAAAUGAACUUAAGCAAGUGAAAGUAGAAUUGAAUACGACGAUAGAGCAAAUUAAUAUACUUCGUAAAGAAAUGAUAGAAAAAGACAAUGCCCACAAGAAAGAAAUAAAUCAAAUAAGAGCAGACGUAAAUGCGUUACGUGAAGAACAAAAUAAGAUUAAAACAGGUAUUAGGGACAGAGUUUUAGGAAAAUUUGAUCAUGAGAAAAAAUGAAAAGGAAAGAUUUGAGGAUAAAGGUAAAAGAUGUCGAGGAAGACACAAACAUAACAGAAGAUGAGUUAAAGAAGGAAUAUGCACAAAAAAUGGUUAGAGGAGUUUAGAGACUACAAUUCAUUUUCAUGAAGAUAUUAAAAACGAAUUAAGAGAUUAUUUGUAUUCAUUUACCAGAUCACCAUUGGCUAUACGAGCUUUUGUAAUAACUUGACAUCUGUUGUACUGGUUUUUUGUUAAAGAUCAAAUCUUGCUGAUGUCCUCUGUUGAGUCAUACGGCUUCAAUAUUUUUUGUGGUUACUAAGUAUUAUAGAUAUCAGGAGAUGUGGUAUGAUUGCCAAUGAGAUAAAUAUCUACCAGAGUCCGUUGAUGUGGAGGUCACUAAACGGCCUUCAACAAUAAGCAAACACCACAAAGUAUAGUCCGCGAUAGAAGACCCGGACACAAUUUGUUUUAAACAAUUCAAACGAGAAAAACCAACCGCCUAUAUUUAUCACGACAAACAAAUGUGACAAAUGAACCAACAAGAAGCAAUGAAUUGCUUAUUUCAACUUAAAACAAUGUUGUUUCAAUGUUAAGUUUCAAACUAUAUUCAACCAAAAAUCAACAUCGAUACACUGUUGAAAAUAUUACGUUUUUUCAACGUCAGAUAUUCAAUGUUGUUCUAAAUUUCAAAACCAACAGUUAAUUCAACGUCUUUUCAACGUUAUAGAUCAACGUUGAAAUGCCUGCUGGAAAGCGCUUCCGCGCUUCAUACAAAAUUUUCUUCGGUCAACCUUUUACACCCCAAUGAAUUUUACAAAA